UAAAAGGGAGGAGGGAGGAGUAGACUGUCACCACCUCAGCACUGCUCCCUACUUCCUAAGUGUUUAGAUUUCACUUCUUCACAUUUCAUUUUCUUGUGGUGCAGGAACGUCUAAGCCUUCUGGAUCUCUGUGGCUAAGCGCUGUUCCUCCUGGACCACAAGGAAACAAGGACCCCGAGCACUGCAGUUAUCCCUCCAAAUCUACAAACUCCUGUUCAACAAGGGGUCUUUGUGGGCUCUAGUGUCCCUUAUAUGAAAGUAGGCUGACAGGAAAGGGGCAAGAAGAGGGGGGAAGACACGCGGCAAAUAUCGUCAGGUCCGGGAAUUGAACCUGCGACGGCGGCGUAGAGAACUCAAGGCCGUCAAACAUGCUGCAAACACUGUGUGAAGUCAAAUGAGAAAAAGAAAAGAAAAAAAAAGACAUGCGCUCGCUGUGUGCUCGCUCACGGACCUAAAGAGGGACGGGCAAUGAAAAGAAAGCGGAAAAGGAAGCCAAACAAAGAGGAGGGGAGUUUGGGGACUCGUUUGAUCACAGUUGACUUGUGCAGACCUGGAUGAAUCUGUAGACGGGUGGAGAGGCAGCCGUUACCUGCAAAGAAACAAACUCUGUCGCAGACGUACGCAGUCCUUCGUUGAUGUAGGAGCUGGACAUUUUUAUGUGAACAUCUGCAACGGCAAAGGGAUGGUUAAAGAGAUGAACUUGUGCACCAGUAAAAAGAAAGUUUGGCUGCAUGAUCUCAAUGUCAAUACAGAUGAUUGCAGCGUUACUCAUCUUAGCCAAUCUAGAUAUGUGACUGUCGCUUGUGACAUAGUCAACAAUCUCUGCCUUCCUGUUCACUUUCAAAGCAGCCAAGACAGUGGGCCAAACGGCAACGCUCAAACCUGCAGGUCAUAAACUAAUCUGUGGUUUGACUUUGGAAACCAGAGACGUCUAGGUUUGGCAAAAAUGCUGUUUUGCUUUGCUGCAUCUCUCCAUAUCCAGCUUUAGUUCAGCCUUUAAAUGCUUUGAGUUACGUUUAGAUGAGUUUAUUUUAGAAAUACAUCAGAGAAAUCACACAAUCAGUGAAAGACAGUGUACAAUUUAGUUUUUAAUAUUUCAGCGGUGAGAACCUUUGUUGGUGGUUUGAUUUUGAGACCUGAGAACUCAAAAACUAAUUUGUUUUGUAAAACAUCUGGGAGUUUUGGUUGUAAUCUUGAAUUGAGAAGUUAUUCUUUCUUACCUAAUUAGAGUUGCCAUUAAAUUAUUAGUCCAUUUGUCCAGAGCAUCAAGUUACCAUGACAUCCAGCUAUUUACAUGGGACAACAGAAAUGUGACUUAAAUUUAUCUACGUCUCUGAAUCACAUAGAUCGUAUACAUGGGAAAUACUUGAUAUACUUUUGCAUCCCUGAUAAAUAUAUAUGAAGUAACAAUCAUAACAAUAAAGUUUUAUAUUUUACAGCCAAAUAAUGAAAUGUUUUCUGAGUGCUGUGAACAACUUUUUGUGUUUAAAUGAUUGUUUUGCUAAAGAUGUUUCCAAAGCUGUGCAGCAUGUUGCUUUGUUAUUUGCUUUGCUUUAAUAAAAGCUCAUAAUCAUACAU